GGCUAAAUACGGGCGAGAGACCGAU
rnacentral:snRNA from 1 species